rnacentral:tRNA from 1 species
GCCUCCAUAGCUCAGUGGCUAGAGCGCUGGUCUAGUAAACUAGAGGCCAGGAGUUCGAUUCUCCUUGGAGGCA